GGGAGACGCAAUGGCGUUGUUUACAUCCCAAAGACGCGUCGGGUGGGUCCAGUAACAGAUAUUCACCCUGGAGUGAGUCGACAACAGCCACUCCCCUGUGUUAUGCUGGUGGGUUGGGUUUAUUAUUUAUUGUUUAAUUCCUACGAUUGUGUGUUACAAAUAUGUGAAUAAAACAACAGUUGACGCUUGUUUUGUAAGUAUAACGUAAUAAUGUGUAAUAACUAGUUAUGUCUGAUCUAGGUCCCAGCCUUUUCCUUCUCGGGAGAUUUCUAGAGUAAAUAAAUGAGAGAAAACUA